rnacentral:lncRNA from 1 species
GGUAAUCCUGAAAGUGAACUGAGUUUCUUAUUUGGCUGGAUUAGGAUUGGGACUGAGAUUGUAGCUAAGAUGGUAAUUGAGACUAUAACCGCAACUAAGAUUGUAACUGGGACUAAAUGUUGGUUUUUUGAUAAUUGAGGUUUAGACUGAUACGAAUGUACUGAAUUCUGAUGGUUAAGUAACUGAUAGCUGAAAGCCAUGGUUCUGUAGGACUAUCAGAGUCCUUUACUGGAUACUCA